CCUACGGGAGGCAGCAGUGGGGAAUAUUGGGCAAUGGGCGCAAGCCUGACCCAGCAACGCCGCGUGAAGGAAGAAGGCUCUCGGGUUGUAAACUUCUUUUAAGAGGGAAGAGCAGAAGACGGUACCUCUUGAAUAAGCCACGGCUAACUACGUGCCACCAGCCGCGGGAAUACGUAGGUGGCAAGUGUUGUCCGGAUUUACUGGGUGUAAAGGGCGUGCAGCCGGGAAGACAAGUCAGAUGUGAAAUCCCGCGGCUCAACCGCGGAACUGCAUUUGAAACUGGUUUUCUUGAGUACCGGAGAGGUCAUCGGAAUUCCUUGUGUAGCGGUGAAAUGCGUAGAUAUAAGGAAGAACACCAGUGGCGAAGGCGGAUGGCUGGACGGCAACUGACGGUGAGGCGCGAAGGCGUGGGGAGCAAACAGGAUUAGAUACCCUUGUAGUC
rnacentral:rRNA from 1 species